CUGGAGGAAGCCCCAGCGGAGGAAGUCACCCCUUGGCGACACUGGAGAUUGCAGCACACAGGCCAAAAGACCAUGUGGCAGCUGUGACGUGCAGGGCUGCCCAUAAAUGUUUGUGAUGCUGUUGCUGCACGGAGGACUGUCUUGCCUGCUCUCAGUGCUACCCAGGACAACUAGGUGCCAACAGGGUUGUAUCCAAGAAGGCUAUGUCCCUCUUCAGCAAUGGCAGAUGGACUCCAUUGGCCCUCCCCUGCUGUUAGAAGGGGUCAAACAGGCAUUGACUUGGGUGGACACAGUUACAGGCUUGAUGUGAGCCUUCCCUAGCAGAAGAGCCAACCAGAAGGAACCAGUUUGGUUAAGGGAUCCACUUGGCUGAAUGCCAUGCACGGCACAUCACUUUGUAAUGAAAAGUGACCAAGAAACCCAUUUCACAGGCCAUGACCUACAAGAGUGGCUUGAGACCCGGACACAUUACUGUUGUAGGACAGACUAGGCUAGGAAUUAGCAGGAAGCAGGCUUAUUGGCUGCAGCCAGGUCCAGAGGGGAAAAAAGCUUUUGCUACAAUUAAUCAACCCCUCUGAACCCCCGAGUUCAGAAAGUUCUAGAACUUCAUACCCAGUGUGUAAGGGGAGGGGCUCAGAGUCUCACAAUCUGCAGAAGUCCACUAACAGUAGGUUUUUUCCUACUGUUCUGAGCAACCAAUUCAGGCCAAGGACACUGUGGAAAUCAGUGCCUGGGAAAGGAAGUUCUCCUCCCCUCCCCUUGUGCCCACCAGCUGGCUUCCAAGGAUUUGACCACUGUCCUUUGAAAUGCAGACGCCUCUGUGAAGGCCUUGGGUUGGUCUUUCUUAUUGCAUUUUGCUUCUGUAAGAAUAUCCCCCUCCUGAAAUUUCUUGUGUAGAAAUUUUGCUGAGAAUCUAAGAACAAUUUCGUGAGGGUCAUUGGAGAAGCUUCAUGAAGACUUUCUGUGGAGGAGGGGGUGCCACUACAUCAUGGACUUCCCACCCGCCAUGCAACCCGACGGGAGCUGGAUGGGUUGAAAGAAUGAAUGUCCUGCUGAACAAGCCUUAAGAGUGCCUCUGUGCAGGGGGUGCUGCUCAUCUGCCUGGGCACGGAGGACCCUAAAUGAGAAACCUAGACAUCAGCAGUCUACAGCUGUUUCUGUUAUCUGGCCCACAGCCAUCAGCAUUGAGGUUACAGAUAAAGGACUCUUCCACUGAGCAUUUUCUUAAGCCAGUCUGGGGCACAAAUAACAACAUAUGUUGCUGGCCCCUCAAGACAGCACAUUGGAACACGGAGCAUUAGUGGGUCAUGGACUGUACAAGGAAGUCCCUACUGGUUUGCCCUACUGACCCCUUGAGGGGAGGGAGAAUCUCUAAACUUACAAGUAAAGCCUACUGUGUUGGGAACCUGGUCCUCACAAGUACGGGUGAUGUUAUCCUUGGGUGUGUCACUUUAAGACAGUUGUAUAUCCGGGAGGUGUCUUAUUCUCUCCGUACCUCUGAAGGGCAAAAGGACAGGUUGGCAUGGUGCACUUGCCCAGGCAAGCCUACUGGGCAAGCUGCUUUACUAACACACGAUCGUACAGUGGCCUGUCUACUGCCUCAUGGAGCUGAUUUGUGAUUACUGGUGUCUAUUAAACGUCUGCCUUAUUCUCCGUGGGCUGGCAAUAAGAGACCUAUUCCUGGACUGAGUAAAGGAAGCUGCACAUCAUGCCAGCCACACUGACUGUUGGCUCUGCCCAGAACGCCCUGUGACUGCAGCACAAGGACUUCCCUGGGGAGUCCAACCUACAAAUGAGACGGAACAGACUUGGAUAGAACAGAACUGGGCUAAAACUCAGUCUCUCAUGCUUUAACCCAAGUGUCUAAACAAAUGUUGCUGUAAUUCCCUUCCCAAGCUUGCUGGUAGGUUCUUGCCCUCUGUCCUGCUGUUGGGAGAUAUGGAUGCAGGGUGUCUCCGGAGCCCUGUUCUGAGGGCCUCCCUGAAGACAGGAGAGGAUUUGAGUUUGUGCGAGACAUAAAGGGGCUUCUGAGGUGCUAAGGGUGUGGAGUGUUGGGUUAGCACUAAUGGGUGCCUAGGAAAGCUGGCUGUUUGGGCAGUGAGAUAAGGACACUAAAGAAUGUGAUAAUGAAGGAGAGGAGAGGGGACGCUGGCCACUCCCCUCUUCCCCAAUCUGUAAAUGAGGAGUAAAGCAGAGUGACCUUGGUUGUCAAGUAAAAUACUGUACUCACAGAACGUCUAAGGAAAUCCACGGGCACAGGGGCACACAACCUGCCCUAGACAUUCCCCUGCUUAUAGGCAUGGUACAUUCCCAUCGGCCAGCACCUAGGAGUGCGUGAAGAAUAA
rnacentral:lncRNA from 1 species